rnacentral:tRNA from 1 species
GGAGGGAUGGCUGAGUGGCCUAAAGCGGCGGUCUUGAAAACCGUUGGGCGUUCACGCGCCCCGUGGGUUCGAAUCCUACUCCCUCCGCCA